AGAGUUUGAUCCUGGCUCAGGACGAACGCUGGCGGCGCGCCUAACACAUGCAAGUCGAACGAGCGAGAGAGAGCUUGCUUUCUCGAGCGAGUGGCGAACGGGUGAGUAACGCGUGAGGAACCUGCCUCAAAGAGGGGGACAACAGUUGGAAACGACUGCUAAUACCGCAUAAGCCCACGACCCGGCAUCGGGAAGAGGGAAAAGGAGCAAUCCGCUUUGAGAUGGCCUCGCGUCCGAUUAGCUAGUUGGUGAGGUAACGGCCCACCAAGGCGACGAUCGGUAGCCGGACUGAGAGGUUGAACGGCCACAUUGGGACUGAGACACGGCCCAGACUCCUACGGGAGGCAGCAGUGGGGAAUAUUGCACAAUGGGGGAAACCCUGAUGCAGCGACGCCGCGUGGAGGAAGAAGGUCUUCGGAUUGUAAACUCCUGUUGUUGAGGAAGAUAAUGACGGUACUCAACAAGGAAGUGACGGCUAACUACGUGCCAGCAGCCGCGGUAAAACGUAGGUCACAAGCGUUGUCCGGAAUUACUGGGUGUAAAGGGAGCGCAGGCGGGAAGACAAGUUGGAAGUGAAAUCCAUGGGCUCAACCCAUGAACUGCUUUCAAAACUGUUUUUCUUGAGUAGUGCAGAGGUAGGCGAAUUCCCGGUGUAGCGGUGGAAUGCGUAGAUAUCGGGAGGAACACCAGUGGCGAAGGCGGCCUACUGGGCACCAACUGACGCUGAGGCUCGAAAGUGUGGGUAGCAAACAGGAUUAGAUACCCUGGUAGUCCACACCGUAAACGAUGAUUACUAGGUGUUGGAGGAUUGACCCCUUCAGUGCCGCAGUUAACACAAUAAGUAAUCCACCUGGGGAGUACGACCGCAAGGUUGAAACUCAAAGGAAUUGACGGGGGCCCGCACAAGCAGUGGAGUAUGUGGUUUAAUUCGACGCAACGCGAAGAACCUUACCAAGUCUUGACAUCCUGCGACGGUUCUGGAAACAGAGCUUUCCUUCGGGACGCAGAGACAGGUGGUGCAUGGUUGUCGUCAGCUCGUGUCGUGAGAUGUUGGGUUAAGUCCCGCAACGAGCGCAACCCUUAUGGUCAGUUACUACGCAAGAGGACUCUGGCCAGACUGCCGUUGACAAAACGGAGGAAGGUGGGGAUGACGUCAAAUCAUCAUGCCCUUUAUGACUUGGGCUACACACGUACUACAAUGGCGUUAAACAAAGAGAAGCAAGACCGCGAGGUGGAGCAAAACUCAGAAACAACGUCCCAGUUCGGACUGCAGGCUGCAACUCGCCUGCACGAAGCCGGAAUUGCUAGUAAUCGUGGAUCAGCAUGCCACAGUGAAUACGUUCCCGGGCCUUGUACACACCGCCCGUCACACCAUGAGAGCCGGGGGGACCC
rnacentral:rRNA from 1 species